ACUCAAUCAAGUUUGUGAGACAUGAUUUCCCAUGCACAAAGCCAUGUUGACUAUCCCUAAUCAGAUUGUAAAGAAAAACAUGUAAGAUUUGUGCUUCCGUGGAAAGCAUGUUUCGGGCGAUGGGAUUACGUUUAUAGAAGGAGGACAAAGCCACCCAGAGAUGGAGGGGAAGACCCAGUUGUGAAGAAUGAAGAACGUGGUAAUAUCGAGAAGAAGAACUCCUCACAGAACACUACAUCUCUCUCUCUUUGAAAAUGGUCUGUCUGACUCUGCAAAAUUGAUUAACCAGGAGAGAAAACCAUCUAUGAUUUCACAGUCAAACAUGGAAAUCUGCACCAAACAGCUACCAGCAGUUGAAUUACUGAAGCUGCUCAGCUGCAAUCCUAACCCCAGCCCUCAAAUAAAUUCUUCACCUGAGAACUGUAAUUGUUUUUCAAUUCCAACUCCCCUCUCUCUCUGCCUUGUUCUGUCUUCUUGCAUGCCUGGUACAUGUGUGUAUGCCACAUGACUCGGGAUGUGUACAACAUUUUAAUCAGAUUGCAAUAAAACUAACUCUUCAAUUUUGUUUACCUAGCUUGAUUCUACAUGGUCUAACUGCACGUUCACAGCAUAUUGAAUUGGGAACUUAAAUUCUGUUACACCCAACAGAGGAUUGAAGAGAGGAAUUUAUUUGCACCUACAGGCUUGGUUGUAACACUUGUCAAAUAGACACAGAUAGUGACUG